AACGAACGCUGGCGGCAUGCCUAACACAUGCAAGUCGAACGAAGCCUUCGGGCUUAGUGGCGCACGGGUGCGUAACACGUGGGAAUCUGCCCUUCGGUUCGGAAUAGCAGUUAGAAAUGACUGCUAAUACCGGAUGAUGACGUAAGUCCAAAGAUUUAUCGCCGAAGGAUGAGCCCGCGUAGGAUUAGGUAGUUGGUAGGGUAAUGGCCUACAAGCCGACGAUCCUUAGCUGGUCUGAGAGGAUGAUCAGCCGCACUGGGACUGAGACACGGCCCAGACUCCUACGGGAGGCAGCAGUGGGGAAUAUUGGACAAUGGGCGAAAGCCUGAUCCAGCAAUGCCGCGUGAGUGAUGAAGGCCUUAGGGUUGUAAAGCUCUUUUACCAGGGAUGAUAAUGACAGUACCUGGAGAAUAAGACUCCGGCUAACUCCGUGCCAGCAGCCGCGGUAAU
rnacentral:rRNA from 1 species